rnacentral:rRNA from 1 species
UUAUCUCUGUAGAGUCUGCAUAUCAAUAAGCGGAGGAAAAGAAACUAACUAGGAUUCCCUCAGUAACGGCGAGUGAAGCGGGAAGAGCUCAAAUUUGAAAUCUUCAAGGUUCUACCUUGACGAAUUGUAGUUUAAAGAAGUGUUUUCUGUUGGAGUUUUGGUAAAAGUUCUUUGGAAUAGGACAUCAUAGAGGGUGAGAAUCCCGUAUUUGACCAUUAUUUCCAGCUUUGUGAUACACUUUCAAAGAGUCGGAUUGUUUGGGAAUGCAGUCCAAAAUGGGUGGUAAAUUUCAUCUAAAGCUAAAUACUGGCGAGAGACCGAUAGCGAACAAGUACCGUGAGGGAAAGAUGAAAAGAACUUUGAAAAGAGAGUUAAACAGUACGUGAAAUUGUCAAAAGGGAAGCGUUUGACACCAGUGUUGUUUUCUCGAAAAUCAAUUAAAAAAGGCAGGAUUUUGUGUUGUAUUGACUUUAUCAGCUUUCUGCACUCUUUUCCUGCUUUUUUUAAUGCACUUUUCGUUUAACAAGUCAACAUCAGUUUCUUUUGUUGUAAAAGGGUCAUUGGAAGGUGGCUUUCUUUUCGGAGAAAGUGUUUAUAGCCUUUGAUCUCUGCAAUCGGAGAGACUGAGGUCUGCAGCGUAGAUCCUUCGGGGUUAGAUACAUUUGUGCUAAGUUAUAGCCUUUCAUAGACAACUUGUUGACUAUGAUCAGUCAUGUAGCUUACUCGCUUAUGCUAUUUUACCUACGCUUAGGAUGUUGAUCUGUAGUGCGUGCGC